AUUGAACGCUGGCGGCAGGCCUAACACAUGCAAGUCGAGCGGGGUUUUCGGACCUAGCGGCGGACGGGUGAGUAAUGCGUAGGAAGCUGCCCGAUAGAGGGGGAUACCAGUUGGAAACGACUGUUAAUACCGCAUAAUGUCUACGGACCAAAGUGUGGGACCUUCGGGCCACAUGCUAUCGGAUGCGCCUACGGGGGAUGAGCUAGUUGGUGAGGUAAUGGCUCACCAAGGCGACGAUCUCUAGCUGGUUUGAGAGGAUGAUCAGCCACACUGGAACUGAGACACGGUCCAGACUCCUACGGGAGGCAGCAGUGGGGAAUAUUGGACAAUGGGCGCAAGCCUGAUCCAGCCAUGCCGCGUGUGUGAAGAAGGCCUUCGGGUUGUAAAGCACUUUCAGCGAGGAGGAAGGGGUGUGUGUUAAUAGUACACACCUUUGACGUUACUCGCAGAAGAAGCACCGGCUAACUCUGUGCCAGCAGCCGCAGUAAGAC
rnacentral:rRNA from 1 species